rnacentral:tRNA from 1 species
ACAAUAAAUAAAGCAAUUUGCAGUUAGUUUCGACCUAAAAGAAGAUUAUAAAAUAAUCUAUUU